GGAAUGUAAUAAGAAGAUGGUCUGGUGAUAGAAUGCUAUGAUGUGCCAGAGAACCAUGUUUCUCAAAACCUUCUCAUCCAUCAAGAAUCAUCAGUAGGAUAGUUUCAGCUAUUUAUUUAAAUCCCCAAAGAAUAGCCAUGUUUUCCAUCACUUCUAUAAUUAAGGAACUGCUUGAAUUUCUCUUAAUCCUGCUCCUUUUACUGCCAUGGUUUGCCUUCUAAAGCUGCUGGUACUAGCCAGUAGGUCAGACUUAAGGACAAGCAGCUUUUGUAUGGCUUGGCAUAUAUAUGAGUUUAUAUGCAUCUAUGUGUUUAUAUGAGUGUUAUAGCUUGUAAUUAGGGAAGAAAUGGUACAGAGCAGCAACUUCAGGUUGGCUUCUAAACUACCUGUUUUGGAAUGGUUUGGGCAUGGUAAGAGGUAAGCUCAACCUGAACAACUCUAUGCCUAUAUUAAGGAAUGCAGUCCCCAUGUGUCUUCUCCUCAGCAAGCUACAGAUCCGGGUUCUAGCUUGCUUUUAAGCGCACCUGAUGACCACGCAAGUACUUCAUGGACAGAUGGAGGAGCUUUAACUAAAGGGAUGGAAUGAAGACCUGGAUCACAGUCAUUCAUCCAGUAAGAAACUAUGACCAUACCAUGUGCAAGCAAAACUGACAUCUGAGACGAAUCAUGCUGGGCUAUGGCCCCAGCCAGCUGCAACAUUCUGCUUGGAAAACUGAGAAACAGUAACAUCUCUUGUGAGAGCAUAACUAAGAAGUUUUGAGUCCAGGUUUGAAACAGGAAUAACAACCACCUAGAAGCAACUGCUGCUUUCCUUGGCUCAUCUUCAUCCAGAACAGCAUGCCUGAGUUAUGUGUGGAAGUGUCUGAUCAAAGCCUUGCGAAGAAUAAUUCAAGAAAGUGUGCACUUCAGUCAACCUAAAAUAUAUGCAAAGAGGACACAUCACAUACAGAAGGCUCAUUUAUUAUUUAUAUGUUGCUGCAGAUAUGCAUGGCAAAUCAAAAGACAGUCCUUGCCCCAAGGAGCUUACAAACUGAAUUAGACUAAAACCAACCAAAAUGACAGCACAUCCACAUAGCAAGAGAGAGAAAUAAUGGAUACAGACACAAUUACUGCUCCCGGAGAAGGAAUAGUGCAUAAUAUUCAUUUUUUUUAUACCUUGGUUGUGGCUGCUAUGAUCAGGAAAUACAGAAUCCAACAUACCUGACUUGUGAACAUUAAAAGAUAUUCUAACUUAUGUUUCCCUGCAGAUGAAAAAUAUCGUAAUACCUGGCUCAUGUAACCAUCUGUUGAUUGUACACUCAAAACCUUCCAAAGAAAGAGUGUCACAAAUGAUCAGAUGUGUGCAAGAACAAGAUACUACAUGUGCAUUUGAUUUGGGAAAUGUGCAAAUUAAUCUAGCAUAUAUAUAUGCCAGACCUUUGUAAGAUGUUUGACAUUCCCAAAAUAGCUACUGAUGCACCUGAAAGCAACGCAAUAGUUGUGUCUUAGUUUUACAAUACAUCAUAGUACAAUGCAUCAUUUUAUGCUUUGUUCUAAUGAAAGAAGUAUAAAUCUUAGAACCUGUAGAAUGUAUUUAUAUUAUCAAAAGCAAAAAAACAGCACAGAACAUUCUUAAUCAAGUUUUAUAUAGUCAAAUGCAGCAGGAAGUGGUCUCAACUGAAGAAAAAAACCUCUCUGCUUCAAAUACAUUUUGUUUUUAAAAAAGAUCUAGAAUACUAGCUGGACAGCAAAUGCACUGAAAAACAGACUGAUGAUAAACUUGGAAUACAGCAUUCAAUCCUCUGUAACUGCUGUUUCUUCCCUGCUCCCAAUUGUUUAUGAUUUUCUACCAAAAAGCCCUUGAGUGCUGCAUUAUUAUGUGCUAUCAUAUUGCUAAAAGAAAUGUUUGUAUUCUUAUAGUUCAUAGCUUUUGGAAAAUUACCAUUUUUGCAUUAGCCUUUUAGCAGAGUUUCAUUUAUCUCAGGAUUUUUAGUUUUAGAAGUCACAAUGCUGAGUGAAAUUAUUUUUUGGAGACAGGAAAGAUCUUAAGUCUUUUGACAUUUUUACAACAUCCAAGAGAUCUUGGAUUUUCUUCUUCACUGAAAAUGAUCAGUCUUUUUUAUCAGGCAUAUGCAUACAUACCCCAGCCUCAGAUCUCCCUAGCAAGGUUACAUUUGUACUUGGUCAGUGCAUCUCCAGCUUCUCAAAUCCAGUUCUUAGUAACUGGAGUGAAAUUCUAUGAAAGAAGGUUUAGCAAAACAGUAACAUGAGAAAAAGACUAUAGAUGCAAAUUACCUGUCUCAGACUGGUCCUUCGUUUACAGUCAGUUUAGUAGCCCAUUAGAAAUGAGAAAUUAAGAUGAAUUGUGGUGUUUGCUACUGAAGUUUUUAACUACUGACCUUUGGGUCUUUAAUUUAUUCUGAGAAAAGCAUUUAGCUGCAAGCAGCUGACUUGAUGUGUAAUGUCUAUGUUCAGCCUUCUCAUUUGUACAACAUAAAGGAGCUUCAAUAAAUUAUAACCAAAGUUAA